ACUCCUACGGGAGGCAGCAGUGGGGAAUUUUGGACAAUGGGGGCGAACCCUGAUCCAGCAAUGCCGCGUGAGUGAAGAAGGCCCUCGGGUUGUAAAGCUCUUUUGUCAGGGAAGAAACGGUGAUCUCUAAUAUAGAUUGCUAAUGACGGUACCUGAAGAAUAAGCACCGGCUAACUACGUGCCAGCAGCCGCGGUAAUACGUAGGGGUGCAAGCGUUAAUCGGAAUUACUGGGCGUAAAGCGUGCGCAGGCGGUUUUGUAAGUCUGAUGUGAAAUCCCCGGGGCUCAACCUGGGGAACUGCAUUGGAGACUGCAAGGCUAGAGUGUGUCAGAGGGGGUAGAAUUCCACGUGUAGCAGUGAAAUGCGUAGAGAUGUGGAGGAAUACCGAUGGCGAAGGCAGCCCCCUGGGAUAACACUGACGCUCAUGCACGAAAGCGUGGGGAGCAAACAGGAUUAGAUACCCUGGUAGCACAGAG
rnacentral:rRNA from 1 species